AUUGAACGCUGGCGGCAGGCCUAACACAUGCAAGUCGAGCGGAUGAAGGGAGCUUGCUCCUGGAUUCAGCGGCGGACGGGUGAGUAAUGCCUAGGAAUCUGCCUGGUAGUGGGGGAUAACGUCCGGAAACGGGCGCUAAUACCGCAUACGUCCUGAGGGAGAAAGUGGGGGAUCUUCGGACCUCACGCUAUCAGAUGAGCCUAGGUCGGAUUAGCUAGUUGGUGGGGUAAAGGCCUACCAAGGCGACGACCCGUAACUGGUCUGAGAGGAUGAUCAGUCACACUGGAACUGAGACACGGUCCAGACUCCUACGGGAGGCAGCAGUGGGGAAUAUUGGACAAUGGGCGAAAGCCUGAUCCAGCCAUGCCGCGUGUGUGAAGAAGGUCUUCGGAUUGUAAAGCACUUUAAGUUGGGAGGAAGGGCAGUAAAUUAAUACCUUGCUGUUUUGACGUUACCAACAGAAUAAGCACCGGCUAACUUCGUG
rnacentral:rRNA from 1 species